ensembl:lncRNA
AAUGAAAAUGCGCUUUAUAUGUUAGAGAAAGUAAUAAUUGUCACAAAUACUGCAGAUAAGACAGAAAAAGAAUUCAACGUAGAAUAUCAGACAUUUUUUGUACAUCCUCAUGCAAUGUUUAAUGAAGAGUCAAAUACAUAUGGGAAAAUAUUUAUGAAUGAACAAUAUUAUGAUAAAGAGACAAAAUGUGCACAUUAUCACAACGGAGUACAAUCUUGUGAUAUAGAGUCAUAUAAUGAUUCUAAUAUAAUACCAGUAUAUGUAUCUUAUUUAGAAAAUACUCAAAGAAAAGAUAUUGUUUUUUGAAAACAAGGAUAAUUACGUUGUAUCGGAUCUGGUUCAUAAUGAAGCAAAGGCAUUAACUGAACGAUAUAAUAUAAUAUUAGAAGGAUCAAAGAUGUCAGCAGGUGUAUAUAAUAUUAUAAGAGCAAUAGUAUACGAAAUUACGAGUUUAAUGGGAAUAACAAAGUUUGGAAAUAAUAUGUGUAAUAAAUUAGUUCUAAAUAAUGGUAUAUUACACAUGGAGGACAUAGAUACUUCUACUUUGAUUUCAAUUAUUACAGACGAAACAACAGGUUGUAUUAAUAUAAGCGCGAUAUAUAAUAAAAUAUUAGAUAUGUGUGAAUUUACGAAUGAUAAAUUAAAACUAUUAUUUGGUGGUUCAAAGAGUAACUUGUUACCCUUUUAUUUGAAUGAAGAUUUUGCGAAUGAUUUAGCAUCGAAUGAGUUGCGAAAUUUGAUUAAAUUUUUUGUCUCGAUACCUCAUAAUUUCAUGAAAACAUUCAAAUUAUUAGAAGGACAUGCGCAGCUAUCUAAAUUAGUACAAGCAGAUGUACCAGAUGAUAAUGCAAUUAUAAUAAUAAAGGUAAAAGAUAAUGUCAUAUUCAAAAUAAGCAAAACGAUACUACAAGAUGGGUAUGAUAUUGAAGAUUUUAUUGUCGCUUUGUGUCAAGCAAUUAGUAAAAUCGAAAAACCAUCGAAUUAUGUUCAGUAUUGUGACGAAAAUAAUAAAGAAUAUCUUAUCAGUAAAAACACAUGUGAUAGUUAUGAUACAAACUUAGGAUUACUACCACCAUGGGAUGAUGCAUUAAUAAAUAACAUAUCAGAGUUUAUAUACACGCCUGACGCGAUAUAUAUGAAAAAAACACCAAAUGAUCAAUAUGCCAUUAACAAUUUAUAUAUAUAUGAACUUAAAGAUAAUGCAAAUGAAAAGUUUUUAAAAGCGACAUUAAUAUUAUCAGAUGAUAAAGUACCAAAUAUAAACAACAUAGUUUAUGUUGUAUUAAUAGCAAAGUCGUUUGAUAAUAAGAGUCAACUAGCAUUAUUUUGUUAUCCAGAAAUGAAUUAUCAAUUACCAUUGUUUUUUAAAAAAUACAAUUUAGAAGAAGGGACAACAUACUUUAAUUGUAAAAGUGAACAAGUGAAAAAAUUCAAAAAUGGAUUGUAUGAAUUUAAUAAGUAUUACAUAUUGUAUGGCAAUAACAUAGGUACAAGUAACUAUAUAUAUGGCAGUAUGCCAAUAAGACCAUUAUACGAAGUUCAUAAUGAUAAUGUGAUAGUACCAGAUGUAGAUUGUGAAAAUAUAACAGUAAAUAUAUCAAAAAAUGAUGAAGGCGAUUCAAGUUUUAAGUAUUUGAUAAAAUUUACUGGUUUGUCUAUGAAUAUAAACCCAUCUAUAACAAUAAGUACUAUUGUUGAGUCAAAUAAUCAUAGAGAUAUUAUCGGUACGUUUCAUAUCAAUGACAGUUUAAUUGAUGGUCAACAUGCAAGGGACUUACGAUCAUUAGAGUAUAGAGAUAUAUCGUUUGUAAACAAUAUAUAUAAAACUAUAUUGAAUAUAUCUAAAAAUGUAAUAGAAAUGAACAUGUUACAUGAGGACGAGUAUUAUUUUACGUUAAACAAGACAGUUGAAUUAGUGGGCAUCGAACUAUUGGAUAGCAAUAAUAACAAAAUUGUGUUAUCGAUUGAAAGCCAUGAUAAUAAAGUGAUAUGUAAAAAUAAUGAAAUUAUGGAUUUAGGAGUGGAAGUUGGUGAACUAAAAGAUAAUACAGGAUCUAAUACAGUGGAGAAAACUGAUGAUGUAACAAAAAUUACUAAUCCUGACGGCGUUGGUGAAACAGACAACGAUAGUGAUGGUGCGGCUGAAGUUAAAGAAGAAAAUAAUAAAGUUAUUGAAGAUGAAGUAGAAUUUGAUAAUGAUGUUGAAGCAUAUGUUGAAGCAUAUGAUGAAGCACAUGAUGAAGCAUAUUAUGAAGAAUAAGUUUACAUCUUGGAUUAGGAUGAAUUCGAUAUUUAGUUACCAAAUUUUAUAAAUGAAAAUGGUACAAACAAACUAUUUACAUGAAUGAAAGCAUUAUAUUAAUUUGUUUAAAAUGUG